rnacentral:rRNA from 1 species
AUUGAACGCUGGCGGCAGGCCUAACACAUGCAAGUCGAGCGGAUGAAGGGAGCUUGCUCCUGGAUUCAGCGGCGGACGGGUGAGUAAUGCCUAGGAAUCUGCCUGGUAGUGGGGGAUAACGUCCGGAAACGGGCGCUAAUACCGCAUACGUCCUGAGGGAGAAAGUGGGGGAUCUUCGGACCUCACGCUAUCAGAUGAGCCUAGGUCGGAUUAGCUAGUUGGUGGGGUAAAGGCCUACCAAGGCGACGAUCCGUAACUGGUCUGAGAGGAUGAUCAGUCACACUAGAACUGAAACGCGGUCCAGACUCCUACGGGAGGCAGCAGUGGGGAAUAUUAGACAAUGGGCGAGAGCCUGAUCCAGCCAUGCCGCGUGUGUGAAGGAAGUCUUCGGAUUGUAAAGCACUUUAAGUUGGGAGGAAGGGCAGUAAGUUAAUACCUUGCUGUUUUGACGUUACCAACAGAAUAAGCACCGGCUAACUUCGUG